rnacentral:rRNA from 1 species
GACGAACGCUGGCGGCGUGCUUAACACAUGCAAGUCGAACGAGAAUCUGCAGAAGGAGGAUUCGUCCAACGGAAGCAGAGGAAAGUGGCGGACGGGUGAGUAACGCGUGAGGAACCUGCCUUGAAGAGGGGGACAACAGUUGGAAACGACUGCUAAUACCGCAUGACGCAUAGAGGUCGCAUGAUCUAUAUGCCAAAGAUUUAUCGCUUCAAGAUGGCCUCGCGUCUGAUUAGCUGGUUGGCGGGGUAACGGCCCACCAAGGCGACGAUCAGUAGCCGGACUGAGAGGUUGAACGGCCACAUUGGGACUGAGAUACGGCCCAGACUCCUACGGGAGGCAGCAGUGGGGAAUAUUGGGCAAUGGGGGGAAACCCUGACCCAGCAACGCCGCGUGAAGGAAGAAGGCCUGUGUAACUACUUUACUACGGUACGAAGGAAC